rnacentral:rRNA from 1 species
UACGGGGGGGGCAAGCGUUGUUCGGAAUUACUGGGCGUAAAGGGCUCGUAGGCGGCCAACUAAGUCAGACGUGAAAUCCCUCGGCUUAACCGGGGAACUGCGUCUGAUACUGGAUGGCUUGAGUUUGGGAGAGGGAUGCGGAAUUCCAGGUGUAGCGGUGAAAUGCGUAGAUAUCUGGAGGAACACCGGUGGCGAAGGCGGCAUCCUGGACCAACACUGACGCUGAGGAGCGAAAGCC